rnacentral:rRNA from 1 species
UACGUAGGUGGCAAGCGUUAUCCGGAAUUAUUGGGCGUAAGCGCGCGCAGGCGGUUUCUUAAGUCUGAUGUGAAAGCCCACAGGCUCAACCGUGGAGGGUCAUUGGAAACUGGGGAACUUGAGAUGCAGAAGGAAGAAAAGCGGAAUUCCACGUGUAAGCGGAUGAAAUGCGUAGAGAUGUGGAGGAACACCAGUGGCGAAGGCGGCUUUUGGUCUGUAA